AAUUCUCAAAAGAAAGGAAGAAGGAUGGAGUUUGAUAAGAAAUGGAUGGAUUGAAUUUAAUUGCAUAAAAACAAUGAACAGCAUUCAAUCUUCUCCCACCAUAGAUAAGGGAUUUACAAAACAGUAGCAUAUUUUGAAUCACAAAUGGGGAUUACAUUAUUAAUCUUCAGAAUCUGAAAAGAGUAUUCAAGCAGAGACAAUGCUAAUAUGAUCAUACUGGAGCCAUUUCCAACAGGGUUUUUG
rnacentral:lncRNA from 1 species